GCAGUCGAGCGGAGAGAGGUAGCUUGCUACUGAUCUUAGCGGCGGACGGGUGAGUAAUGCUUAGGAAUCUGCCUAUUAGUGGGGGACAACAUUUCGAAAGGAAUGCUAAUACCGCAUACGUCCUACGGGAGAAAGCAGGGGAUCUUCGGACCUUGCGCUAAUAGAUGAGCCUAAGUCGGAUUAGCUAGUUGGUGGGGUAAAGGCCUACCAAGGCGACGAUCUGUAGCGGGUCUGAGAGGAUGAUCCGCCACACUGGGACUGAGACACGGCCCAGACUCCUACGGGAGGCAGCAGUGGGGAAUAUUGGACAAUGGGCGGAAGCCUGAUCCAGCCAUGCCGCGUGUGUGAAGAAGGCCUUAUGGUUGUAAAGCACUUUAAGCGAGGAGGAGGCUACUUUAGUUAAUACCUAGAGAUAGUGGACGUUACUCGCAGAAUAAGCACCGGCUAACUCUGUGCCAGCAGCCGCGGUAAUACAGAGGGUGCAAGCGUUAAUCGGAUUACUGGGCGUAAAGCGCGCGUAGGCGGCUAAUUAAGUCAAAUGUGAAAUCCCCGAGCUUAACUUGGGAAUUGCAUUCGAUACUGGUUAGCUAGAGUGUGGGAGAGGAUGGUAGAAUUCCAGGUGUAGCGGUGAAAUGCGUAGAGAUCUGGAGGAAUACCGAUGGCGAAGGCAGCCAUCUGGCCUAACACUGACGCUGAGGUGCGAAAGCAUGGGGAGCAAACAGGAUUAGAUACCCUGGUAGUCCAUGCCGUAAACGAUGUCUACUAGCCGUUGGGGCCUUUGAGGCUUUAGUGGCGCAGCUAACGCGAUAAGUAGACCGCCUGGGGAGUACGGUCGCAAGACUAAAACUCAAAUGAAUUGACGGGGGCCCGCACAAGCGGUGGAGCAUGUGGUUUAAUUCGAUGCAACGCGAAGAACCUUACCU
rnacentral:rRNA from 1 species